AAAAAAAUAGUCCGCCGGGUCCUAACGCCGCGCCGCCAUGUCGCCCUUCCUUUUCCAACGGGUAGGCGGCUCCACCCUGAGGUGGCCUGGGCACUGCAGAGAGGGAGAGAUGGCCUAGGGAGAAAAGCAGCUUCAGCUAGAAGGGCAGCGAAUACCUCUACUCAUCACCAUCAUCCCAGGGCUCUGAGGAACAGAAUGCUUUUCAGAAAGGCAAGAGCUGUGGGUAGGAAUUCCCUGAGAGAGAAAAGAAGAUUAAAUUCCCUCUCAUACGCUAGAUCCUAAAGAGAAGCAGAGUGUGGUAGAUGCGAAGUUACUGCCUGAAGCAUUUUUUCAGAGGGAAAAAAAAGGAAGAAAAUAUGUCCUUCAGGAUACAGUAUGAUUUAUAGAAUGAGUUAAGGUCUGCCCACACCAAGCCGUGAAAUAUAGCGCAGAAAGGCCAGAUAUGUCGCCACCUAAGGCUCCUUCAGAAGGAGAAGACACACAGUCAUCCUGCUGAGCCCAUCAGCUUGGUGCCCUUUGCUUCACCUUUCUUUAAGCCCUGCAGAGCACAGCCUAUGCUAUCCAUUUUUGGAAUUGUUUAAGUACAUACUCCUGUGUUUCAAGACCUGUAUCUUCAGAAUUGAGUGAGUUCCAUGUGGCUAACUGAAUUUUCCAUAAAGUAACUUAAAUAAAUACCAGAGUUCUGCAGUUUCCAAUGUUAGAGAUUGUGUUGUGUUCAGUAAAAGCGCAGAUUUACCCAGCAUGAAAUAGACCUCUCCUUAGCUGUGACCACCUGUCAUCCUGUAGGCUAUUCCACUGUUUUGCAGGGAUACCUGUAGAUAACUUGUGAAGUUCAUGUUGUCUUAUAAUCUGAUAGCCGAAAUUCACUGGAUCUAGACACCUGCCUUAUUCAGAAAUCAUCCCAUAAGCCAGCUUUAAAUCGUACUUGCUAAUCAGGACAGUAUUAGCAUAAAUUUGACUUAAUGGGGGAGAAUGUAUCAGGUGCAAAGUUAUUAACUGGAUUGAAACCAGGUGUUAAAAUAGCUGUGUUUUUUAAUACCUCAUCCUCAAAUAUCAAAGUCCAGAAAUAAACAGGGUUCCAGUUAGAGUUGCUGAGUUUGAGAAUUUGUGAUUCAUAAGAAACCUUGGUGCUUCAGACGUUUUCAUGCUCUUAAGAAAAAAAAAUAAGACAUCUAUAACUUCCUGGGAAAUGGACAUUUCAAUAAUGUUUCUGAAACUCAGCUCUUCAAAGUUGGCUCCCCAGGCUGCCAUGGGGUCAGGUAACGUGGUACCUGCAGUCCUUGGGUGGCAGAACCUGAAAAGUUAACCUCAACCACUGUGUUUCAGUGCGCCCUUUAGAUGGGAUGGAAUUUCUAUCACAGACUUAAGAAAAUCUUGAGCUAUGAGCCAGUCACCCUGUCUACCCUUGGUAGCCAGCGGAGAGAAACAGGCAUUCCUGAAGGUGGUUCAUCAUGUCCUCAGACAGGUGUCUGACUGGGGUGAGCUGAAUCACCAUCUGGAAGGGCCUGCCUUAGGAGGAGGUGAAUCACUUUCUGGAUCGUUGGUGUCUCCUCAUUGACUAUAAAGGAUAGAGAGGGUGACCGUCUCGUACCUGAGUGUACAAAAGUUAGACAUUUAGGAAAUGAAUUCUCAGCGUUGUUUUUAAUGAAUGAGAUUUCUUAAGCAAGGUACUUUGUGUAAGAAAACUCCUGCCCAGCUCUAGUUCUGCUAUCUUCAAUCAAAAAAAGAGAGGAAGCCUUAGUAACUUCAUGUUACGUGAAAUAAUAUCUGUAUCAGGGAAUCUGCAACUAUACCAAGUGUUUCCUCAUAUUUUUCUUUUUUGCCUAAAAAGAAAAAUACAGCCCCACAAGCAAAUUCAACAAAGUGUUAAAAAAGUGCAAUAUUUUUACAAAAAAAAGAAAAACCAACAAGCCCCAGCCUUUGAAAAUCAGAAAGUUUAGAGUUAGUUUUCAAAGCUCAAUUUUAAUUCUGCUCUGAUAAACCUUUUUAAUGUUAACGUACCAGCUAUACAUAUAUUUGAACAUAAUACUUACGUUGAUUUAUGCUUUACAAAACCUAAACUAUACGGGACAGAAUGUGUUGAUACUAUAAAAAGAAUCCUUAUGCAAUGCAAAAUUGUUAGGGACAAGACUGUCUAAACCAUAUUUGAAAAUACUAUGUACAUAAGAGUAAGAAGAUUAUAUCUCAGCAUCCCCCAAAUGGGUAGUAAAUGUUUGGCAGCCUUGUAGGGUCACUGCAGUUGGAAAUCUGAUCAAUAACGAUGGUGGCCUUGCCCCAGGAGUGGCACGAGUCGUGUGUCCUUACAGUUUGAGCACUUACUGCCUGGCCCGCAAAGCAAACGGUUAUAGUGUCACUCCUGAGAUGGUUAAAAAGUAUAAAAGGAGCAAGAUUCAUAGGUUAGGCUGUAUUUUCAAUGACUUCUAGUUUCUGUACAGCAACUUGACUGGAGAGAUAUUAGAUAAUUUUUUCUCCCAGUGUGUUGGUUCUUCCUUUACUUCUACACAGAGAUUAAUUGAAUUAUUGACAUUAUGAUAUCCCAGAUAACGCAGUCUAAUUUCUAUAGGCGCUGAGCAUUUGAAAUGCACUGAAAUGGAAAGGUUGUGGUGUGUUUGCAUUUCUGAAAAUUAAGACAGAAACUCUUAAAACUAGAAAGGGAUCUCCAUCUUUUAUGAAGUGUAAUCAUCUAGUGACAUCCCAGCACAUGAUGACGCUUCACCAACACUCUUGUUUUCUUGAGAGCUUUUAGUAAAUCUGCAUUGUAAUUGUAAAUACAAAUGAGUACCUGGGAGGUAACUAUAAAUUAAAUAGAUGGAUGCAAAUGACUAAAUACAUUUCAAUGAGCUUUGCUGUCAGUUGUUAUUGUGUAAGCUCAGAAAAAAAACCAAAACACACUGUAGAGCUAAUAUGCAUAUACACAAUUAUGUUUUAAACCACUGCACGUAUUUGGCCACUAUAUUCUAGGGUGACUUGUAGUGUAGGAAUAGUGUAGGCAUAGAAUAUAAGGAAAUGGAAGAUCCGUAUGGUUCCGAUGGAAGCAUGGAAGAGAUCUUAAAAAUUAAAUGCUGUAAAUUAAAUGCACUUUCCAAGCUCACGGUGUAUUUUCAGCUAUUUAAGGCUAUGUGUAUGUUUCAGCCUGACUCUUUUCAAUUUCUCUCAUUCUAAGAUUGGGCUUUUUGAACAGAGAGACUGUUAGAUGGAAAUUUGUGAGUCAUGCAUUUGGCUCACUCAGGCUUUGAGGACACCAGCCUUAGGUAUCAGUAGUCUUUGAUAUCUAGCCAAGAAGAGGAGCAAUAACCAGAUGUAAAAUCACUUGCAAAAUCAUAAAUUUGAAAGAUUAGGGAGAAAUACGGAAAGAAAACACGCAGAGGCACAGCUGAGCUCCAUUGUUACUGUUUCAUGUGCUACUAUGUAAAAGGUAGUGUUUGGAGCUUAAAACUAUUUUGUUGACUGGGUAAACGACAAGGCAGACGCUAAAGCUAGGACAGUUUUUGAACUUGGCUUCGCUUGGAUCAAAUCUUAAUUUUAGCUCUUGAACAAUAGGAACUGUGAUUCAUGUAUUCCAUUUUUUCACCCCAAUGAAAUCAUGAACUUGCAGAGAGUGCAGGUUAAAGACUAGCUGAUGAACCCCGAGCGUCAGACUGUUGCAGACAAAAAAAAAAAUUA